rnacentral:lncRNA from 1 species
GGCUUGACGCGUAAAAGUGCCGGCAUUUCGGGACGCUUGGAGCUUGGACUUGAUUGUGGGGUGUUCUAGCAGAUUCCCGGCGGGCGGAAGGGCAGCCGGGAACCUAAGAUUUAACUUACCGUGGCCCUGGAAGGUUCAUGAUUACUGAGCGUCCUUCCCUACUGGAUGGGUUGUUUCACCUCCCUGUGAACAUCCUGAGUCUGAAUGAGCUGCCUCCUUUGAUGGAAGGUUUUAAUCUUGGAGGAAACUGUUAAAGAGCAGAUUUUGAUAUGGUUCAGCCAGGAAAGGCACUUGCCACCAAGCCUGAUGGCCUGAAUUUGAUCCUCAUGACCCACAUGAGAACUGACUUUUGUGAGUUGUCCUCAGACUGCCCUAUGUGUACCAUAGCAUGUGCAUGCCUACUCACCACCCACCCCCAAAAUGUAAUUUUUAAAGUAUUUUUGUCCCUACUGUUGAAGAUUAUAAGUGUAAUUGUAUAGAAAUAAACUACUUUCUUUGCUAAU